UCUUCCAUUCUGGUACUUGUCUGGUUACCUUUUAGCGGGGUUUCAGGUGAGACGGGGCUAUUUCGAUGCUUCGUGCCUGUAGAGGUCUGGAACGAAAACCUUCUCGGGGUGUUGAAUUUUCGCCAGCUUUGGCUCUCGGUCCGAAUAACUCCCAGGCAGUCUCCCUCUUAUUAGCAAGAGUCCAGAUGGACAAGGCUCCAGCACAACUCACUCUCCCUCUCUCUUGGUAGAAGCUCCCAGGAAAAACGCCUAGGCUCUUGGACUCUCCCUCUCUCACGCUAAAUCUCUCUGUUUCACGCUCCCGGUCUUCCCCAUCUCCCUAUAGUUCUUAAAUCCCAGGAGAACCGAAGCUCCCCUCCCGAUCUCGUGCCCCUUUCGAUCGGGAUUCAAGUAGGAGCCGAAGCCCCCUGUCCAUUCCUCUGUUCCAGCACCCCUAGCCAAGCCCGAUGCCUCCAGCCAGCUUUUGCGGAAUCCAAGGCCGGACGCCCCGUCGCCAGCUCUAGCCGCUCGAAGCCCAUACCUCUUCCUGCGAGCAGAUAUUGCUGAUAGAUCGAGGCGUAGUCAUUCCUGGUGGUGUACCUCCGAUGAUAUUGGUGGAGAAAAAAGUUUAAUUGUGCCUCUCCCUUAGUUGCUUCAGAAUAUUUAUGUAUGGAACGAGAAUGGACAGUUGAGUGCCCAUGUAUGAUAUAUAUUAUGAGAAACUUUAGCCUUGAUACCCUUCAACAUUUAUAGUUCAUUCAUCUGGAACAAAACUUGAUUGCAAGAUUGGCUGAGAGAUGGUGCCCCUUGAUGAACACCUUCCAUAUCACGAUCAGGGAGAUAAUGAUCACACUUCACGAUGUGCUUGUGCUACUUGAUCUUAGAAUUGAUGGGCAUGCAGUGGUGGGGUUGAAUGUAGUUGGUCAAGGACGUCGUUGGUCCAACUAGAUAAAUUAUUGUUCUAAGCUUCUUGGUACAAAUCCAAGAAGAGAUAUAGUGUGCCAUGCACCUGAAGAUGAGGAUGACAGCACAACCUUUACAAUGGGUACCACUUAGGUUGAGUUGUUGCUCCCAUUACUUUGGCUCUAUUGGACUUUGUAUAAAGACUCAUACGUUGACUUUGCACCCAAUCCAUUUAUUUAGCAUGACUGAGCUUACAUCCUCUUUAUGAUUGGGCCAACUACUACAUAUGGUUAACUGUCAUUCUUGAGCCAUUAGCUGUGGGGCAUGGACAAAAUGCUAGUUCAUUGCAAUUGUCUAUUGACAAGGUCACAAAACUUUCCACCAGAGUUCAACGAAUAUUUUAUAUAGACUAUACCACUUUUAAUACCACCAUAGAGGAGAGGACCCAAUCUAGGGAGCAUGCAAUAAGUUCCUAUAGAGUUCAGGGGGCCAGACGAUCAACCUCUGAUGCUCCAUCCAGAUCGACAGGCAGCCGACACCACCAAACAACCUAGACUUUCUAUGUACACACCAUUCACCAGUUAUGAUAGGACUAGCACAGGACCUUCCACAUGACAUUGGAGCUUAUUCGAUGCACAAGAAAGUGAUGCAGCUGAUGUGUACUAUGGCACACUAUCUCAGAAACCCACUACAUAGUCCUUAACUCCCAUGGCUAUACUUGAGUGGAUAUCAUCUGUUGGGUUGCCAUUUUCUCCCUCAUAGUUAAUGGGAGGAAAACCAUCAUAGUAAUCUACAUAGCGAUCAAAUCAACAUAUGUAUGCUCGUGAGCAAGAGGAGCAGGUGAUUGAGGAACCUCAACUUUAACAAAAAAGAUGGAAGGCCCUAGUUAUAUAUACUCUAGGGAGUGGGGAUCUUCCACGUCAUUGAUAGAUGUUCCAUUCUUCUUUAUUUUCCUGAUCAUAUUUUUGUAAAUAUUUAAAGGACUGAUAUUGUUGUUUGCAUUGAAGUUGGUAUUGAAAAUAUUAUACUCUCACUUAAAUUUGGAUGUGUGAAAUUGCUAUAUGUACAUUGAAAUAA